rnacentral:tRNA from 1 species
GCCCAGAUAGCUCAGUUGGUAGAGCGCACCCUUGGUAAGGGUGAGGUCGGCGGUUCAAAUCCGCUUCUGGGCUCCA